CCCGCUCGUCCCCGACCGAAACCCUACCCAGACUGCACGCAAGCGACGGCGGCGAGCGAGCGAAGCGGCGGUGAGCAUCGAGCGGAGCGGCGGCGAGCAGCGAGAGGAGCGGCGGCGAGAACUGCAGGAGGGGCGGGAGAGGCGGAGAACCUUGCCGACGAACACAAGGAUGGAUCCCGCCUAGCCGCUCCACAUCAGAUCGCCACCGUUCUUGGUGCUAGGUCUGGACGAGCUCCGGGAGGCAGUAGUAGCAGCACGGCGGCGAUGGCGUGCAGAGACACCAACGCGAGGGCCAACGACUUGCUGUUGUGCUCUAUUUCACCAUCUACAGCUCUCUACUACUUGUGCUGGUGUGCAAAUACAGAGGAAGUUGUCAUGGACUUGCGGAGUGUAGAACGUGUUAGGAAGAGGAAAAACAAAGAUGAAGGGAUUAUAGAAUGCUGAAAGAUGCCCUUGGGCAAAGUGGAGUUCGGUGGAAAGAUAGCGAGCUCAUGUUGGAUGCUGAACCUCAUCUAUGGGAUAAUCUGGCAAUUGCUGGGUGCAGGAGGCAUCCACGGUGUGCAGAACCUCGUCCCCAAGACCCACCGCAGCUACCUCGACAUCAAAGUUCAGGAGAUCGUUGACAUCAGCAACAAUUUCUACCAGUGAUGGCACCUAUGAUGUGUGCUCGCGUCUGAUGUUGGUCAAAAGACUGUUUGUUGACUUGUGUAAUCUGUUAUGAUAUUUUGUAGUGUCAUGGUUGCUCAGAAGUUGCAAAGUUCACAUGUUUUGUUGUCUACUAUGAUGAGAAUUGUGACAACAUGAGUUCCUUUUCUAGGAGUCUACUUUAUUUAGUCUUAGCAUAAACAUCUGUAUCCUGGAUUUUGGACUUCUAGUCUCACUUCUGUACUGGACCUGAUACAUAUGGACAGACAUAGUGACGUAAAUGUUAUCAGAACCUCAAAUAAUCUUUAGUUCAGAUUUUAAUGUCAGUGCCA